CAGGCCAGGUGAUGCUAAAAGCCCAGUGAAGCCAGAGAAAGGCUGCACCAGGGCCUCUGGGGUGUGUCCUCAUUACCUCCGUAACCUCCAUCUGUGCUUCCCACCUGAAUCCCCUGCCACGCUCCAGCCUUGCUGGAUGUGCCCCAGCUCAGCCAUUGAGAAUGCUGCUCCCCGUCUGUAUGACUUGCUUCAUGUACUUCUCUUUGCUGAGAGAGGCUUUCUUCCUGUUUUUUGCCCAAAGAAUGCCUAUUUAUCCUUCAAGACCUAGUUCCAGUGCCUCCUCUUCCAGGGAGCCUUCCAGCCCCACUCUGUGCCCUCACUCUGGGUUCUCUGCAAUUCCACAUUCGCUGACACCCAAAUGAAUAUGCUUUCCUGCUUCCUGUUUCUGUGCCCCCACUGGACAGUGAGCCCACUGAGGGCCAGGGCCAUUCUUGUCCCCUGUUGAAUUGCUGAGUUCCAGUACAGCAUAUGUAGUACAUAGAUACUCCGUGAGUGGUGUUUAUCUGAUGUCUACUUAGCAGGCAUUCUGUCUCACUUUUGCCUUUUGCAGCUUGGAAAUCCACCCCAUGGUGCACCUCAGCCUCACCCAGGCUCUCCCGCUUCUUGGUGCUCCAGAAGGGGCUGGUGGAGGUGGGGAAGAGGACUCCAUGCAGAAGCUGUAAAGAGAGCGCUCUCUCCUUGAAUCACACGUGGGAAGUGGCCCUCAACUCCCAGCACACAUGGCUGAGAGGACUCAGAGGGGACUCACGUCACUGGGCUGGGGAGACUCAACCCCAAAUUUCCCUUCCAGGGGGUUGCCCUGCUGGCGACAGUCUUGGCUUCGAAGGGGCCCUCCAAGGUCCUGGGACUGGGGAGCUACUGCUGCAGCAGAAGGCUGGAGACCAGACAUCUUCAACAGCCUAAGUGCUGUCUGUGACAGGCCUACUAAGCGCCAGGUGCUGGGGUGUGUGUCUGGGUGAGCAAGUGAGGACGCCAGGAGGUGGGCAGGGUUGUGGGGUGUGGAGAAGCAGCUGCAGGUGCUAAGAGGGGAUAAACAAAGCAGCAGGCACAGAAGAAUGUUACUCUGUCUGAGGCUACCGGGAGGGCACAGAUAGAGGGGCUGGGGCCCCAUGGAGCAGGAGCUGGUGAGCGGCAGGGCAGGGGCAGCCCUCUCAGACUCCAGCCUGGUUUGUGGGAAGCUUCCCUAAUAUCCUACCACAUAGGCACCCCUGAGAAAGCCCUGCCCCCUGAGAAACUGAACUGAUGUUCAAGAACCCACUGCCCAGAUGGAGGUCAUGGACAGGGAUGGGUGAAAACUUUCAAAAGAACUGUCAAAAGCCCAUGAAAUCAGCCGCAUAAAUUGUAACAUACUGUGCUAUGACAGUAGAGAGACUGCAAAUUUUUCAUCAACAUGGAAAAGAAAAACAAAGAAAACGCCUGAGCCUUGGGUACCUUGUGGGUAAGGGUUCAACCUUGUGGAGUCUAUCAACAUCCCCCAUCCCCACCCCG
rnacentral:lncRNA from 1 species